CGGCGAGUGUAAGCUAAAUGUAUAAUAAUUAUUAUCGGGCGGCGGCGGUGGCGGCAGAAUUGGCAACCAGAAAUAAAGAGAAAGAAAAGAUUGGAUAGGCCUAAGUCGGAGAAACUUGGUUGUAAAACGAAACAUUUUUAAUGGCAUACAUUUGGUGGCUGGCUAUGGCUAGAAAUGGUAUUAUGCAACGCACACAUCAGAUACUGGCAGAUACAGAUGCGGACUACGGACUACGGACUGCAGACAUCACAUCAAAUUGUAUCUGGCAUAGAGCAGCGAAUUUUCAUUUUGAUCAUUCGCAUUCGUUUGUUGUUUUGGGUGUAAAACACGAAACGAGAAAUAAAUCAAAUCAAGUGUAGCGACCGCAUCCAUUUAUAUACAACCAAACAGAUACAUCCAGAGAUCAUUCUCAUUCCGAAUACACGCGCUGCUGAUUCUUGAGGAUAUUCGAUUUGUAUCUGUGAGUCUGUAGCGUGUAGCUGUGCGUUUCAACAGCUGUCCGUCCCGUCAGUCCGUCGAGAACCGGGCCAAGGUUAGAAAACACGUCAAUAAAGCGCGUUAGCCGACAGCAACAAAUCUACUAGUGAAUGGCUCUCGAUGUGGUCUGUGUGUCUAUUUUUAUUUGGGAAAACUCACGCAGCUUUUCCCAACUCCCCGAGCGAUCAGGACUCGUCAUCGAUCCGCGGCUCACGAUCGUCAUGUCAACGGAUCGAUCGGCGAUUGUUACGAUUAUUAUGCACUCAACACUGACUAUGGCUCAAUUUGAGAGAAGUCUUGACAGAAUAAUUUCUUAAUUUAUGCGGCGCCAGCUUGCGUCCCCUUCUCCCCCUAUAUAAAUCGAAAUAUAUCAAUUGCUAAUUGGCAGAAAUGUAUGUAUAUAAAUCAAUUCUUAAUUUGAGCACAUCAUUGAAAGAAGCUGAUUAAUGAAGAAACAUAGAUUGGCACUCAGGGGGCGCGAAAACCAGAUUUGAUAGCUGUGAGUCUAAUAUAAAUGGAUAAAUUAAGCAAAACUGAUAAGAGUAUUUAUCGCAAAAGAACCCCAACGACCCUCAAAACUUUAAAAUUUAUCAAAUUUGUUUAUUCUACUUUGGGUAAGGUCGUUCCAUUUGUCUCAUUUUUAUAGUUUCGCUUCAAAGUUACAAAAUGAUUCAUUUGAUAAUAAUUUCAGCAAAUGAAAUAAAAUACACAUAUUUUGUUAAAGCCCACGUAUUUCCAAAAAUUUCUAUUUAUACAUUUUAUAACUAAUUCAUGUGAAAUAUGUGUGUGGACCAUGAAAUACGCUUUUAUAAAAGAUACACAUUUCGAAAAACAUCACGUUAUCCUUGAACUGUAUUUAAAUGUAAAUAUCUGAAUCUGAACGCUUGUAAACACCCGUAAUUUAUUGCCAUUUCUUUGAUAAUUUCCCACUUGUCCCCCAGCGAGUUUGAACGUCAAUGCACGCUGCCAGCUUGUAGGCCAAAAGCAAAAUCAAAGUCAGCCAACGGCAUGGAUACACGGUCACUUGCAACCGCCGCCUCCAUCCUCCAAUUUCUAUCUUCCUCUCCAUCAGUCAACAUCAUUCAUAUAAAGUCCAAGGUAGCGGCGCAACACAGUGGAACCAAGAGACUCCUGUUUUCCAUUUAAUUUAGUCAAAUCGGAGCAUUAGGUUCAUUGUUUCUCAUUUAAUUUUAUAAAAUCAAUUGGUAGACAAAAAACUUUUAAAAAUAAAUACUAAAUCUAAAUUCUUUCGCCAACAUUUUUGAUGUUUAAAGAAGUCUAUAUUUUUUUUUAUCAAAGCUAUGGUUCUUUUAAGUUGCUUUCAAAUUUUUGCGUUUAUAAAUUUGAGCAACAAGUAAGUUUUUAUUCAAAGAAAACCUAAAUUUGCUCGAAAUACGUGCCACUUAAUUCCUAUAAGUGUUUCUAGUGAUUGUUAUACUAUGAUCAUUUCUGAAUUCCUAAGAAUUCUCCUUUCUUUUUAUAAAUUAUAUGUGGUAACCAUUAAAAAUUGGUUUAGUACCACUGUGGCCUAUCCCGUCUGCAGAAAUCGUGUCGCAUGCCAUUGAAAAUGUGUUGCAGGUGUGGUGCUCUCGUUGUCAAUGCUUAUGAAUGGAAGGCCCAAACAUUGAAAUUAUAUGAAUGCGAAAAUGGAGCGGCAGGGAAAAACUACAAAGAAAGUGCGGAAUGGGCUUUUGCAACCAUUAGAGGACUUCAAAAACGACAGCAGCAAGUGAAGCAAAUAGCCGCAGGUUGCGACCGCAGUUGCACCGCACACAAUGUGGCAGUUGCUGUUGCUGUUGCUGUAAUUACAGUGCACUCCCAGACAGUGAGCCCUCCCCGCGCUGCCCGCACUGAGCAAAUUAGCAUCUGGUUAACAAGUGCGCCGCGGUUAAACGGUGAAAAUCUUCGACUCUUUGCUGGCGCAGCAUAAUUAGAAUCAAUUAUAUUGAAUUGGAGCAGACAGUGAGUGCAAGAUGGGAGUGGACUGACAGCCGACUUUGUAAUUGAUGAGAGAAGCCGUUGAAUUGAUUUUCACAUUUAAGUAAGAAUUUUGGAGAUAAUCCCAGGAAAAGUCAUUUCUUUAUGUUCACUUUUCGAUUUUUUUAAAUUAAAAUCUCUAAAGAUUUUUUUAAAUUGUUAAAGUUAGUUCCAAGUUUCAAAUUUUCACAAGCUUUAGACUUGACAUAAAAACUUCUUGUUUCUUAUUUCUUAAGCAACAUUAAAAACCAAAUAGACAAGUUUUUGAUAAUAAGGAAACAAAAUUUAAACAUUUAUAACAUUUUUUUGCUAGCAACUCAUUAAAUUUUUUUUGUUCGACACAGUACAAUAACAAGUCAAACAAAUGAGAGGAAAACUGAAAAUGAUUUUGCGAAAAAUCUUUGGGCUUUCAAUAUGUAAACUCGCUUUCAUGUGUAUGGGUAUUGUAUGUUUUUCUUGGUUGUUAAAAAUAGAAAAUUUUGUAUUUUUCUUAUUUAAUGCUUUUGGCCGUUGCCCGUUUGCCUUUCGCUGGUUUUUGCUGUUGCUGUUCUGGCCAUUCGACUUGUAAAUCGUCGGCUUGCAUUAGCCAUGUAUUUGUUGUAUUUGUUAAUAUUCGAAAUUCGUAUUGUUGUUGCGGCGGCGGUGUUGAAACCGCAGAAGAGCACGAAAUACGCAACAAAAACAAUGGUCGAGCGUCUAGAGAUCGGCGCUGCACAGUGGGCCUAAGACGAGGCCUACACUUUGACCUUGAUAGGAUCAGAAAGGUCCUUUGAAUAUUGUAAAAGAUUAAACAAAUUUUACUAAACGUUACGAACCAUUUUUAAAAUAUUUUUAUCUAGAAUACUGUUAAAUAUUUAUAAACUGACACAUUACUCUAUUUA